rfam:Dolosigranulum pigrum ATCC 51524 genomic scaffold supercont1.1, whole genome shotgun sequence.
GGAGGAUUACCCAAGUCCGGCUGAAGGGAACGGUCUUGAAAACCGUCAGGCGUGUCAAAGCGUGCGGGAGUUCGAAUCUCCCAUCCUCCU